rnacentral:lncRNA from 1 species
GAAAAAUAAAGGAUCAAAAUGCGCUUGGUGUGUGACAUGUGCUAUGUCAUGGUACUUAACUGUGAAAUUAAUCUAUAACCUAAUCUUUCUCUCUUUAAAUUCAGAUGUUUAGCAAGAGAAGAGGAGAAACAGAUCAGGUUCAAUUAAUUACUGUCAUUCUAUGCAUCUUCCAUAAACCAUAAAGAGCGGUCAUUGUGCAGCUCACUGAGUAGUAGAGUAAAACCACAUUCUUCAGAAAUACCACUAGGUAGGUUGCCUUUAAAGCUUUAUGCGUAUUACUGAAAGAUCAGUGAAAUUGAAAACUGUCCUUAGAUGUUAUUACAGCACUUUAUAGAACAGGUUUUUGGGUGGAAGCAGCUCCUCAUUUGCUUUGGCAAAUGAUUAUGAUGGGUGAAAAUAACUGACAUCACCUGGAAUACAACAGGGAAGUACAAGAAGAGAAUUUUAUAUUUUUGUUUUGCUUUGCUUUGUUUUCCAACAUAGUGAUGACCACUGAAUGAUGAUUUUUUUUAUAGUGAAUACAUCCAUGUUUUGAGAUAGUUGUGGAAAAAGUCAAAUAGCUAAUAGCUAAUAAUAGCUAAUAAAAAUAGAAGGGGUUUUUAAAAUCCACAUCACACAUCUUAACUUGCUCCCUAGACAAUUAAUUCUUUUCCUUUUGAUUGCUUGCAUCUGCAUCAGUGGCUAAAUUUUUAUCUUCAGAGUCCUCCCAGGAGUACUACCACCCAUGAAAUCACGAAUGUAUUGCUUGAAGAAUGUACUGUGGAUUGUAUUGGGAGAGUACCUGAAGAUCUCCUGGAAAAAACAGACCUUGACUGGCAUCUCACUGAAAGUGGAUCCUAAAGACAACACAUGGUAUGCCACUGCCAAAGUACAAAUCAGGGAUGAUGGCCUGGAAGACAUCAGUUUAGAUGGGCAAAGUUUUGUGUUGACUUGUAAACAUUUGAAUGACAGUUGCAUCUUAAUUACAUACAGUAACCAAAAUGGACUGUCUGUCCAGAACCUGCAGCUGAGCGAUGCUGUAUGGAUCCUCAUACAGACGUUUUCUGCCACUUCCUAGAAGGCAGUUGAUGUGGGAUCCACUGGUGUCAGUGAGAACAGCAAGAGUAAGGAGAAGGCAGAAACUUACCUGACCAAGAAAGAGUGAGCCUACCUGGUUUCCAUCUGGGAAACAUGCCCUGCUGCAACAUUCAAUACAAAGAACAUGCUCUUCAUUGUCACCUAAAGAAGACACAAAGACUAAGCUUGAUGAUGUGUUUCUCACUUCUUUGUGAAAAAAAAAAUAAAUCAGAGUUUUACACUGAAAAUAUGUUUCA